CACCAGUGCCUCCCGCGGUGCUUUCGAUCCCAUGCUGGCGUAUUCUUGCACUUAUAGAAGUCUGCUGGAAGUUUCUCUCCCAGCAGUAAGGCUUUUAAGCAGUGUUUAGAUAUAUGCAAUUGGACCCAGUAGAGAGAAAACUGUCUCCUCUAC